GACGAACGCUGGCCGCGUGCCUAAUACAUGCAAGUAGAACGCUGAAGCGAGGAGCUUGCUCUUCUUGGAUGAGUUGCGAACGGGUGAGUAACGCGUAGGUAACCUGCCUUGUAGCGGGGGAUAACUAUUGGAAACGAUAGCUAAUACCGCAUAACAAUGGAUGACACAUGUCAUUUAUUUGAAAGGGGCAAUUGCUCCACUACAAGAUGGACCUGCGUUGUAUUAGCUAGUAGGUGAGGUAAUGGCUCACCUAGGCGACUAUACAUAGCCGACCUGAGAGGGUGAUCGGCCACACUGGGACUGAGACACGGCCCAGACUCCUACGGGAGGCAGCAGUAGGGAAUCUUCGGCAAUGGGGGCAACCCUGAACGAGCAACGCCGCGUGAGUGAAGAAGGUUUUCGGAUCGUAAAGCUCUGUUGUAAGUCAAGAACGGGGGUGAGAGUGGAAAGUUCACACUGUGACGGUAGCUUACCAGAAAGGGACGGCUAACUACGUG
rnacentral:rRNA from 1 species